rnacentral:rRNA from 1 species
GAUGAACGCUGGCGGCGUGCUUAACACAUGCAAGUCGAACGGAAAGGCUCCUGCUUGCAGGGGUACUCGAGUGGCGAACGGGUGAGUAACACGUGGGUGAUCUGCCCUGCACUUCGGGAUAAGCCUGGGAAACUGGGUCUAAUACCGGAUAGGACGAUGGUUUGGAUGCCAUUGUGGAAAGUUUUUUCGGUGUGGGAUGAGCUCGCGGCCUAUCAGCUUGUUGGUGGGGUAAUGGCCUACCAAGGCGUCGACGGGUAGCCGGCCUGAGAGGGUGUACGGCCACAUUGGGACUGAGAUACGGCCCAGACUCCUACGGGAGGCAGCAGUGGGCAAUAUUGCACAAUGGGCGCAAGCCUGAUGCAGCGACGCCGCGUGGGGGAUGACGGCCUUCGGGUUGUAAACUCCUUUCGCUAGGGACGAAGCGCAAGUGACGGUACCUGGAGAAGAAGCACCGGCUAACUACGUG